rnacentral:rRNA from 1 species
GAUGAACGCUGGCGGCGUGCCUAAUACAUGCAAGUCGAGCGAACAGACGAGGAGCUUGCUCCUCUGACGUUAGCGGCGGACGGGUGAGUAACACGUGGAUAACCUACCUAUAAGACUGGGAUAACUUCGGGAAACCGGAGCUAAUACCGGAUAAUAUAUUGAACCGCAUGGUUCAAUAGUGAAAGACGGUUUUGCUGUCACUUAUAGAUGGAUCCGCGCCGCAUUAGCUAGUUGGUAAGGUAACGGCUUACCAAGGCAACGAUGCGUAGCCGACCUGAGAGGGUGAUCGGCCACACUGGAACUGAGACACGGUCCAGACUCCUACGGGAGGCAGCAGUAGGGAAUCUUCCGCAAUGGGCGAAAGCUUGACGGAGCAACGCCGCGUGAGUGAUGAAGGUCUUCGGAUCGUAAAACUCUGUUAGUAGGGAAGAACAAAUGUGUAAGUAACUAUGCACGUCUUGACGGUACCUAAUCAGAAAGCCACGGCUAGCUACGUG